AUCCAGCUGACUAGUCCAAAAUAGGACGAAACGCACGUCCUGGUU
rnacentral:hammerhead_ribozyme from 1 species